ACGGAGGGUGCGAGCGUUGUCCGGAAUUACUGGGCGUAAAGGGCUCGUAGGCGGCCAACUAAGUCAGUUGUGAAAUCCCUCGGCUUAACCGGGGAAUUGCGUCUGAUACUGGAUGGCUUGAGUUUGGGAGAGGGAUGCGGAAUUCCAGGUGUAGCGGUGAAAUGCGUAGAUAUCUGGAGGAACACCGGUGGCGAAGGCGGCAUCCUGGACCAACACUGACGCUGAGGAGCGAAAGCCAGGGGAGCAAACGGGA
rnacentral:rRNA from 1 species